ensembl:lncRNA
GCGUCUGGUUGCUCCUCAUUACACACCACAGACCAGCAAAUAUGAUUUACAUCAACAACAUAGGAAUCACAACAAAACGUCUUAUAUGACCUCUUAUACACUAUAUAAGUUCCAGCCUUUGGAACUUAGGUUUUCCUGGUUAUGGCUACUAUAUUGUGAUCACUACAUCCAAUGGACCUGGAUGCUGCUUUAGAGCCGAGUUCUGCAGCAUCAGUAAAGAUGUGAUCAAUACAUCAAUACAUGUUGCUGUUUUCAUUCCUGUGCUGUUUACACUUUAAAGCUUUUCCUUGAGUGGGCAGCUUGAUGAAAGCUGGUCAAUAUUUAAAUCACCCAGAAAAUAUACCUCUCUGUUGAUGUCACAUACAUUAUCAAGCAUUUCACACGUUAUCCAGAUACUGACUGUUAGCACUUGGUGGUCUAUAGCAGCUUCCCACCAGAAUGGGCUUUAGGUGAGGCAGAUGAACCUGUAGCCAUAUUACUUCAACAGUAUUUAACAUGAGAUCCUCUCUAUUCUUCACAGGAAUGUGGUUCUGAAUACAAACAGCAACACCUCCACCUUUGGCAUUUCUAUCUUCUCUGUCAAUGUUAUAACCUUCUAUUGCUACCACUGUAUCAUCUAAGGUAGGCCAGUUGAGAACAAGUUCUCAAUAACAACUGGGACCUGGCCAAGAUAAAGCAAAGCAGUGUGACAAACAACACAGAGUUACACAUAAACAAACGUACAGUCAAUAAUACAGUAGAAAUAUCCAUGUACAGUGUGUGCAAAUAGAGUAAGGUUAGGGAGGUAAGGCACUAAUGAGGGACUGACGUUUAUAAAGGCCUCUGGUGGGGAGGGGGGGUUGGCAGGGACUGAAUCACACCCCCAGGCAGCAGCAGGCCUGCCCUGCUGGCGAGAACUGAACAUAGGGACCAUUGUAUGAGUCUGGGCUCAGCCUGUCACCACACAUCUCCUCUGACAAGCCCAGCCUUCAGGGCCAGGGGGGAGGGAGGCCAGCACCAGACACCAGUCACAGGGGAGGGAGGCCAGCACCAGACACCAGUCACAGGGGAGGGAGGCCAGCACCAGACACCAGUCACAGGG